CUCAAUUCCACGCAAACAAUGGGCAGAUUCAGGCCGAGGGGUAUGAGGAAGCUUGAGGAAGCAAGGAGAAACGCGCUGCGAUGAGAGUUCGCAUUCUGUUUUACACGCGCGCUUCACUAACACCAAUACAAAUACCGUGCUUUGACGAGCCGUCUGUGAAUCUGUGUGUGUGUCUUCUUUCAGCGAGCUCAACUUGGAGCUGCUCGUCACAUCGUGUUGUCUCGCUUACACUACAGCAUCGAACCAUCGCUCCGUAUGUCCCCCCUCCUACGCGAACAAAACCACCAGUACAGCGCGACGCUUUGUCGGAGAUGGUUGUGCGCGUUUCGUUCUAAGUCCCGCGCGCAGUGUUUGUGCGUUGAUGCACAUUUCGUUAUAAGUCUCGUGCGCCGGUGUGUUUUGAUAAAGUGUGAAGUGAACAGUGUGUACAGACGCACAUGCAGUGCGUGCAUCGACAGGUAAGAAUUUGCUGAACAGAGAUGUGGUAGUGAGCUUCUAACGAUAGCGAUCGUUAGAUAAGUAUUGGUGCUGUGUCAUCGAACACAGCAUCCGAGAGUGCGAUGAGUACAGAAUAAAGAGAGCACUUGAUAGUUAUCAACCGAGCAAA